CCUCCUUCAGUGUCUGGUCCCAGUGAGCAUCGUCCUCCAGUAGUCCAGGUUUGGCGCAGGCUUCUCUAUAGGUCGUGCAGACUUCCCAUUGUGUCUUCGAAAGUCUGUGAAUGAUGUAAGACCUCUGACAGUGUAUAACACAGGCACACA